UAGGCUUUAGGUUAAAUUAAACUUUCAACCUUCAAAGUCGAGAAUUAACAGCCUAA
rnacentral:tRNA from 1 species